rnacentral:rRNA from 1 species
GCUUAACACAUGCAAGUCGGACGGUAGCAGGAGAAAGCUUGCUUUCUUGCUGACGAGUGGCGGACGGGUGAGUAAUGCUUGGGAAUCUGGCCUAUGGAGGGGGGAUAACGACGGGAAACUGUCGCUAAUACCGCGUAUUAUCGGAAGAUGAAAGUGGGGGACUGAGAGGCCGCAUGCCAUAGGAUGAGCCCAAGUGGGAUUAGGUAGUUGGUGGGGUAAAGGCCUACCAAGCCUGCGAUCUCUAGCUGGUCUGAGAGGAUGACCAGCCACACUGGAACUGAGACACGGUCCAGACUCCUACGGGAGGCAGCAGUGGGGAAUAUUGCGCAAUGGGGGGAACCCUGACGCAGCCAUGCCGCGUGAAUGAAGAAGGCCUUAGGGUUGUAAAGUUCUUUCGGUAUUGAGGAAGGUUGAUGUGUUAAUAGCACAUCAAAUUGACGUUAAAUACAGAAGAAGCACCGGCUAACUCCGUGCCAGCA